CGGCAGCCGGUGCCUGCGCAUUGCCCUGUGCCCGCGCCUAUGUCCAGCAGGGGGCGCGCAGCGGCGGCAGCCGAGCGAGGGCGCGGCGGCUCUGACAGGAAUGGCUGUGCGCACAUGCGGUUCACAGCGGUGGAAGUCUUCACACCUGGAAAUUGGCCCUUUCUCCAUUUCUCCUUAUGCACUGUCUUUCCUUGGGCCCUCGUCACUCCCGGCACCGAGGGAAGCGCUUCCCCGCCUCUGGCCGGGCGCUGAGGCGCGACCGAAAGCGAGGCGGCGGCGAGGAACCUUCUGGAAUUCGGCCAUCGGGGCAGGCGUCGAGUUUACAGGAAAAGGCGCGGUGUCCGGGGAUGAGCGGAGUCGCCCUCAGUUGAGGAGCGAGGGAGGCUUCGGGGGUCGCCAGCCGGGUAGGAGUCACCUCAGGCAGGAGGUUAAUUAUAAAUUGUGCUUCAGUUACUUUCAGAAGAAUUUUAUACCGGGGAAGAAUAUAUUUUUUCAAGAUGACAAAGAAGGCUGGUGCACAUCCUUUCUUUACUCUCCCAAUCCAUGCCAAGAACCCUGGGAAUUUCCAUUUGCUGAUGGGGGAAGUCCUGGUGAGAAAGCCCCGAAGCCUGUUCGUGUUAAGAGCAUGGCCGCGGCUGGACGCGGUGGCUCACACCUGUAAUCCCAGCACUUUAGGAGGCUGAGGCAGGUGGAUUACCUGAGGCUGGGAGUUCCAGACCAGCCUUACAACAUGGAGAAACUCCAUCUCUACUAAAAAUACAAAAUUAGCUGGGCGUCGUGGCUCAUGCCUGUAAUCCUAGCUACUCAGGAGACUGAGGCAGGAGAAUUGCAUGAACCUGGGAGGCGGAGGUUGCAGUGCGCUGAGACUGGGCCAUUGCACUCCAGCCUGGACAACAAGAGCGAAACUCUGUCUCAAAAAAAAAAAAAAAAAAAAAAAAGAGCAUGGCCACUUUUGUUGUUUUGCUUGUUUUGCUGUCAGCCCAUAAACUAACAUUUCAGAAGAGGUUGAAGGAGUUACAUUUAGAAAUGCGGCAUUCAGUAAAAUGCUUACAUUCUAGAGUAAGUAAAACCGGUAGUUAUGAAUUUGAUUGUAACAAUAUUGAAUUGUUUGAAGGAAGGAUGGAAACAUUUUACUGGAACAAAGAGUGCAGGCACCAGUGGGUGGCCAAUUUAGCAGCUACAUUUGUCAUCAUGGAGGAAACAUGAUCUGUGCUUUAUGCAUGUUAAGAUUUUCUGGCCGGGCGCGGUGGCUCAAGCCUGUAAUCCCAGCACUUUGGGAGGCCGAGACGGGCGGAUCACGAGGUCAGGAGAUCGAGACCAUCCUGGCUAACACUGUGAAACCCCGUCUCUACUGAAAAUACAAAAACUAGCCGGGCGAGGUGGCGGGCACCUGUAGUCCCAGCUACUCGGGAGGCUGAGGCAGGAGAAUGUCAUAAACCCGGGAGGCGGAGCUUGCAGUGAGCUGAGAUCCGGCCACUGCACUCCAGUCCGGGCGACAGAGCGAGACUCCGCCUCAAAAAAAAAAAAAAAAAAAAAAGAUUUUCUUGGCCUCCCUUUUCCACCUGUAAGUACGACUCCUAUUCUGUCUUUAUUUUAUUUUAUUUUAUUUUAUUUUAUUUUAUUUUAAGACGGAGUUUCAUUCUUGUUGUCCAGGCUGGAGUGCGAUGGCACGAUCUUGGCUCACUGCAACCUCCGUCUCCCAGGUUCAAGCAGUUAUCCUGCCUCAGCCUCCUGAGUAGCUGGGAUUACAGGUGCCCACCACCACACCUGGCUAAUUUUUUGUGUUUUUAGUAGAGAUGUUGGCCAGACUGGUCUCAAACUCCUGACCUCAGAUGAUCCACCCACCUUGGCCUCCCAAAAUGCUGGGAUUACAGGCAUGAGCCACCACUCCUGGCCCUAUUGUAGCUUUUUAAACACAUGUCCUGUUCAACACACAUGCCACAUUGUGUGAUCUACGUCUAACAUGCCUCCAUUGUGGUCUCCACUGACCGUGUCCUUUGCAUUUCAUCCAUCUCAUUUAAUUUAAUGAAGAGGAAACAGAAGAUAAUCAUCCACACUCUAGCAACUCCCUGCGUGCCUAUGCAGCUCCUAAGAGUGGUGGUACAUGCCUGUAAUCCCAGCUACUCAGGAGGCUGAGGCAGGAGAAUCGCUUGAAACCAGGAGGCGGAGGUUGCAUUGAGCUGAGAUUGUGCCAUUGCACUCCAGCCUGGGCUACAAAAGCGAGACUCCAUCUCAAAAAAACAAACAAACAAACAAAAAAAAAGCUCGUAUCAAGUAAAAGAAAUAAGCAGAAGACUAGAAAUAAAAGACAAAUACCAAUGAGGUCA
ensembl:lncRNA